AGUUGGUGGAGUGAUUUGUCUGGUUAAUUCCGUUAACGAACGAGACGUUCUAUAUUUGAUGACUGCCUGUUUCAAGCAGGAGGAAGUUGAACGCAAUAACAGG
rnacentral:rRNA from 1 species